UACGGGGGGGCAAGCGUUGUUCGGAAUUACUGGGCGUAAAGGGCUUGUAGGUGGCCAACUAAGUCAGACGUGAAAUCCCUCGGCUUAACCGGGGAACUGCGUCUGAUACUGGAUGGCUUGAGUUUGGGAGAGGGAUGCGGAAUUCCAGGUGUAGCGGUGAAAUGCGUAGAUAUCUGGAGGAACACCGGUGGCGAAGGCGGCAUCCUGGACCAAUACUGACACUGAAAAGCGAAAGCCAGGGGAGCAAACGGG
rnacentral:rRNA from 1 species